CCCUUAGACGUUCUGGGCCGCACGCGCGCUACACUGACCAGUGCAACAAGCAUCCGUCCUUGGCCGACAGGCUCGGGCAAUCUUUGAACGCUGGUCGUGAUGGGGAUAGACUUUUGCAAUUUUUGGUCUUCAACGAGGAAUUCCUAGUAAACGCAAGUCAUCAACUUGCAUUGAUUACGUCCCUGCCCUUUGUACACACCGCCCGUCGCGCCUACCGAUUGAAUGGUCCGGUGAAGCCUCCGGAUUGGCGCGCACCUCGGUGCCGCCGAGAAGUUGGCUAAACCUUACCAUUUAGAGGAAGGUGAAGUCGUANCA
rnacentral:rRNA from 1 species